UACAGAGGUCUCAAGCGUUGUUCGGAUUCAUUGGGCGUAAAGGGUGCGCAGGUGGCGCGGCAAGUCGGAUGUGAAAUCCCGGGGCUCAACCCCGGAACUGCAUUCGAUACUGCCGUGCUAGAGUGCUGGAGAGGAGAUUGGAAUUUACGGUGUAGCAGUGAAAUGCGUAGAUAUCGUAAGGAGGACCAGUGGCGAAGGCGGAUCUCUGGACAGCUACUGACACUGAGGCACGAAGGCCAGGGGAGCAAACGGG
rnacentral:rRNA from 1 species